rnacentral:rRNA from 1 species
GUGGGGAAUCUUAGACAAUGGGCGCAAGCCUGAUCUAGCCAUGCCGCGUGAGCGAUGAAGGCCUUAGGAUUGUAAAGCUCUUUCGUGGGGGAAGAUAAUGACUGUACCCCAAGAAGAAGCCCCGGCUAACUCCGUGCCAGCAGCCGCGGUAAUACGGAGGGGGCUAGCGUUGUUCGGAAUUACUGGGCGUAAAGCGCACGUAGGCGGACUGGAAAGUCAGGGGUGAAAUCCCGGGGCUCAACCCCGGAACUGCCUUUGAAACUCCCAGUCUUGAGUUCGAGAGAGGUGAGUGGAAUUCCGAGUGUAGAGGUGAAAUUCGUAGAUAUUCGGAGGAACACCAGUGGCGAAGGCGGCUCACUGGCUCGAUACUGACGCUGAGGUGCGAAAGCGUGGGGAGCAAACAGGAUUAGAAACCCGUGUAGUCC